CUUGCCCUGCAGUGAAUUCCCAUCUCCAGCCUUGGACCAUAUGCACCAGAGAAGACAAAGGAUGUACUAAUGUGGUUACCUGCCUUGUAUUGUACUAACUAAUGUUUCUUCCUCUGACUAACACUUUUAACAACCACCUUACUUUCCAUUGUUAUUGUUUCACAGCUGUAAUCUCUUCAGCUAACUUCCCUG